UCUAUUAACAGAACUCGGGUUCCAGAGAGCACUUUCUUGGAAGCAUUUUGCCAUGGAAGGAGUUUAAGAGAAGACUUUGCAAUCGCCUGACCACUAGAGUCAGGACUGGCGAUUAAGACAAUUUCAGACUACAGAUAUCUGGCUUGUGAGCAGGAUGUCCCUCUGACUCUUCCAGAGAUGGGGCAGCUGUUGCUGCUUCCCGCCACCUGGCAGUGGGUGGCCUUGAACCGAUGACCCACAAGUGUCGCAAACACGUAUUGUGUCCAGUCCGUCAUCCUGUUUAACUUGGCAUCACCUACGUGGGACCACGUUGUGAAUGAAAUUAC
rnacentral:lncRNA from 1 species